GCUUGCCCCGGGUGAGUGAGGGCUCUCCUGGCCGCUGGGCCCACUCCUGGCCCUGGGAGGCCGCCACUGGAGCCCUGCCUCUUCCUGGCAG
rnacentral:miRNA from 1 species